rnacentral:rRNA from 1 species
AUGGACACCGCAGGGAGUUGGAUGGGAAGGAGUGGCGAGUCCAUGUUUACCGAGGAGCUCUAUCAGGCUGGAAUCUGCAUGCAGGAGAGCAUCCGGUGGAUCGAGGCGCAGGACCAGGAGGAGAUUGCACAUAGCGACUCUGUCUAUGAUAAUCUUCCGGAUUUCAGAGUGGAUAUGGCCGUCUUGACGGACAGGAUCUUCCAAUUGUGGCACAGGAUGGGAGCGAUACAGAGCGCCGGUUGGAUCGGCAAUGAAGGGGAAUCGAUGGAGACCCAGAGCAAGAUUGGCGACGGCGGAGAGAUGGAAACCGGAGGGAAGUCGUCGGAGAGAAGCAGGAGUGCCGCAUCCCUAGAGCUCAAGAAUCUGCUCGACCGUGCCGGAAUCCUCACCGGUGGAGAGAUAGGCGGAGACACAGAAAUCGAGGAGCUGUUUGAUCUGUUUGCAAAUGAGGCCAAUGAGUGGAUCGUUGGCCAGGCAGACAGUCAACUUCGAUGGGAAACUGUGCAAGAAUUGACAGUCCAAAUCCUGUUGAAAUUCGAACAAGUGGUGGGUGCUGACAUUCUUAAGGUAUUUGAAGAAAAAACCAUCAGGGAGGAGGCAAUGGCAGUGCUUAGGUUCGGCUUCAGACUGUCGUUGUUUUCCGAGCAGAUCGAUGAGCUGAGGCAUGAGAUGUGUAACAUUUUGAGAUCCUUCUCCCCAGAAAACAAAGAUAUAAGGAGCACCAUGAAGAAGUUUAUUUCUGAGCCAUAUCUAUCUCGUAUCUGCAAAUUGCAAUUGAUCUCUCAACGUAUUAGCAUGCUCCAGCAAAUGGACCCAGCCUUCGACUUUAAAGUGAAAUCAACAAUUAUCAAGUUGAAAUCAGAAUCUUUCUUGUCAGCAAUGAAGGAGUCAGAGAACGACAGCCCCAGGGAAGGCCAAGAACACUCCAUGGAGAUGGAGGAGAAGAAAUACGCUGCAUACUGUCUGUACUGGGAACGCAUAUGGGGCAAGGAUGGCCACAGCUUCGAAAACCAGACGUUAUUGAGCCCCAUGCAAUUUACGCAUUGCACACCAGGCCACAUUUCAACUGAAGCUGUCGCUGGGAGUACCUUGCAAAUCUACUCCAUCAAAUUGUCACUAGUAAAACCCGAUUUGUUGCCACUGCCGGUGUAUGGAGUGGUCGCAGUCCGUGAUGCUGUGGACCGUCGUCGCAACCCUUUAUUCCUCUGUUCAAGAGAGGACUGCCAAAUCCUCGAAGAAAAUGAUUCUUUCUUGCACUUGACGGGCCCGGUUCGUGCAAUUGUCUCGAUGGAUACUGUUUACAUCGAAAUCCAAUUAAUAGUAAAGGGCACAAAAAAAUCGGAAGAUACACCAUUGAUCAGUACAUUCGGCUUUUACAAUGCUGACAAUUCCGGUACCUAUCUUGCCAAAAAUGACUUUUGCAAAGUGGAGUUGUGCUGUGAGCAACUUAAACAGUCGGUCCAGGCUACUAUCUUGAGUGUGGCUGUUACACCAAAACAGGAAUCGUUGCCUUUUCUACAUGGUGGUGGAGUUGUUUGCUAUUCAUUGCCUCAGGAGGGUAGUGAAGAUAUCCCUGAGCAAGCAUCAUGUAGGCAAGUUUGGCUGCUUGAUUCAAAAUGUGGAAGAAUGCCUAUGACUGAAAAUGGCUACCUUGAACUGGCAAGGAAUGUAGUUUCUGUGGAAUUAAAUGGAAAGCUGCAGGUCCUCAUAAUGGACGAUUCACAGACUGAGUUUGCUGCUAAAUUCGUCCUUGAAUCUGAAAAAUACAACACAAGUGAAUGUGAAUGCUCCCUUGCUGAUGGCUCUAAGGUUGAGAUCACUGUUGCUUGGUCCCUCGUUCACUCAAAGAUGCUACAUUCAGAUGACAGUCAUGAGGACAUUGGGAACGUGACCACAGGGAAUUUGAAGGGAAGGAGUGGCGAGCCCAUUUUAAGCGAGGAGCUCUGCCAGGCUGCAAUCUUCAUGCAGAAGAGUAUCUGCUGGAUCCAGGCCCAGGAGAAGAAGAUGGUAGAGAUUGGAUAUUACGGCUCUGCGGAAUACAAGAAUCUUCAGGUGUUGAAAUUGGAUAUGUAUGAGCUGUCGAAUAAGAUCUUGGGUCGGUUCAACUACGAGACCCAGAAGAGGAUCCGCGCUAUGCAGAAUGCCUGUUGGAUCAGCAAUAAAGGGAAAUUGACAGAUACCCAGAAUAAAAUUGGCGAUGGCAUUGAGAUGGAUACUGUAGGGAAGUCGUCGAAGGGAGGCAGUGGCGAGUUUAAAUUGGCGAGCAUUGGCAAUGAAGACAUAAUGGUACAGACACAGAGCAAGAUUGGUGAUGGUGGCAAAUCGGUCUCCAAGCAGUUCAAUGAGCUGCCGGUCAAUAACUCAAUCCCCAUAGCUGAAUCUGUCAGAAACAAGAUUGAGGAGGCAGAGGCAGAGACUGUUAGGGCUGAGGUGGUGCCGAGGGUCAGCUUCAAAUUAGCUUUGCUCUCCCGGCAGUUUGAUGAUCUGUGGGACAACAUGUGCCAGCUAGUCUCAACAGAACCAAAAUUUCUAGCGAUAUGCAUGCUUAUUCGGGAGCCCUUCGCACACUAUUGCUCCACAUUGAAGUUUAUCUCUGCAGUUUUUGACCGGCUUGGUCAAUGGGUGCCUGAUUUCAGAGAGGGAUUGGAAUUGAUAAAGGUAAACCUGGACAGGGAUAAGGAUGUGGAAGUUGUGGAUGUGUAUGAGGCGACGAAGGUGGCUGAGGAGUAUUAUUUCAAUGCUUACCGUAGAGAUUGGGAAUGUAGGCGCAGCAAGUUUGGCAGCUUCGAAGACCCAACAUUAUUGAGCCCUAUGUACUUUACCCAAAUCAUACCAGGCCACACCGAAGUGGGUGCUGAAGUUGGGAGGACCAUGCAGGUCUACUCUAUUAAAGUUGCAGAAAGAGAAGGCUUCACCCUUGAGUGGCCACUGAAGGUAUACGGUGUAGUCGCUGCCCGAGAUGUUGUUGACUAUCGUCGCAACCUUCUCUUCCUUCGCACUAGGGAUGACUGCCAAAUCCUCACGACAGAGUAUCCUUUCUUGCACUUGACUGGCCCGUCUCGUGCAAUUACGUCCGAGGACACUGUUACAAUUGAAGUUCACCUAAAAUUAAAGGGCACAGUGGAAUCUAAAGAUACCACAUUGAUCAGUAAAGCCUUCGAUGAUUAUGACGGUGUUUCUACGUGUCUCCUCCGUGGCCUUUGUGACAUUGAUUUAUGCUGUGAUCAUCUUGAACAAUCACACCAAGCCACUAUCCUCGGUGUCCGUGUUGUUAAGGGCUCAUUGCCUUGUGACAACGGCAUCAAAGUCAUUUGCUCCACGCUACCUGGGGACAAAACUGAAGGCAGUGGCUCUGGGCAUGUUUUGCUGCUUGAUUCACAAGCUGGAAAAAUGCCUAUGAGCAAAGAGGGUUAUCUAGAUCUGUCGAGACAGGUUGUAUCUGUAAAAUCAAAAGGGAGCCUGGAAAUUCUCAUGCAGGCUGGAGGAAUCAGUCAAAGUGUCGUCUUACCAACCAAAUUCAGCAACAUAAGUCGAAAAAGUUGUAAGCUUGGUGAUUGUGAAGUGCAGAUAAUUGUUGCUUGGUCCCUACUCAUUGAAAGCCAGCAUGAUAUCUCGGUGAAUGGAUCUGUACACCCUUACGCAUGGGAAUCAAUUCCACGUAUGCCCAUCAUGAAGCUUGCUGACGCUUGUUGA